GACGUGCGGCGCGGCCAGCAGGACCUGGAGCGCGAGCGCGAGGAGCUGCAGCACCGGAAGGGCGCCUACCAGUGCGACCUGGAGAGGCUGCGCGCCGCGCAGAAGCAGCUGGAGCGGGAGCAGGAGCAGCUGAGGCGCGACGCCGAGCGCCUCAGCCAGAGGCAGGCGGAGCACGACGCCUGUCAGGUGACACAUCAGCACACCAGGCUGCUGAGGAUCCCAUCCUUCCUUCCGAAUCCUGAGGAGUCCCCCUCGCCAUCUGCACCUUCGGUCGCCAAAUCAGGAUCCCUGGACUCGGAACUCUCGGUGUCCCCAAAAAGGAACAGCCUCUCUCGGACACACAAAGAUAAGGGGCCUUUUCACAUACUGAGUCCCGCCGGCCAGACCAACAAAGUGCCAGAGGGUCAGAGCCAGACCCCCGUGCCCACCUCCACCUCCACCCGCCUGUUUGGGUUGGCUAAGCCAAAGGACAAGAAGGAGAAAAAGAAGAACAAAAAAGGCAGCCGCUCUCAGCCUGGUGAUGGCCCCCCGUCAGAAGUGCCCGCGGAGGGUGAAGAGAUCUUCUGCUGACCCUGCCCUCUGCCAUGACCACUGCCUCCUGUCCAGCCCCGCCUCUCCUGCUGUUCCUGGGUGUGGUCUCUUACCUUGGACACCCGAGCUGCCCCAGGUCCUGGACCAGAGGGACAAAUGGUCUCGAAUGUCAGGGUGGGGUAGGAGACCCGGGAUUGGCGGCUGCCGAGGGCUCCUGGCUCGGGGCGGCCCUACUGAGGAUGUUACACUGAAAGUAGGUGGCCCCAGAAGUCAGGAGAUGGUUUUGGACAUGUCAGGAAUCUCUAAAGGCUGAAAGAAGUUUCUAAAUAAGGUCUGAAAUUCUACCUGCCUUUUAUUUGAGGGACACAAGCAACAGUCAAACAACAGAUAGUUUGGAUUUGGUCUGUGUACAUAGUUACCUGUCUGCAUAUACGUGUGCAUGCCAGAAUUAGGCGCCGUCUGUAGCAGGGGCCUGGUCGGCUUGGCGCAGGAGGUGCCACUCGGCCCUGCUCCGGGAGCACGCGGGCGCUUGGCACGUCCCCCCCUCCCUUGUCCUCCAAGGCGGUUUUCCUGUCACCCUAUUCCGUGCACACCUCCCCUCUUUCUGCAUGUAUUUCUCAUUUCAUUUUAGAAGGGCUGGCAAGCAUUUGUGAAAACCAGUGAGAGAAGGCAUGAUGUGUUCAAAAAACAUAUAUAUACACACACACAAACGUGUGUGUGUAUAUACAUAUCUGUACCAUCUUGAUUUUGGUGUUCGUCAUUAAAAAAAAAAAACAACCUAAUUUUAACAUGAAAUCCAAAGAAAUCAUAGACUGCCUUUCCAAGAUGUUUGCCCACAUACUCUGGGCACAGAUGCAGUCUCCUCGUCCUUACUCCUGCAUUGUGCCACUUUCUGGUUGUCACUGACCCCCGGCCUCCUGGCACCAUCCCAGGGGAAGCCGCUGCUUCACAGCAAGGUUGUCCCCACCCCUGCACUAGGACAGGGCCCCCGGCCCCUCUGUCAUUUUUAUACCGGGAAAGCCCGAGAGGGAGCUGGCCCAGGUGUGGCUGGGAAACUUGCUCAUUCGGUAUCAGGAGGCCAGGGCAGAAUUUGAUUUCUUAACCCAUUUUCCAAAUCUAAAGGUCUCUUGGUUAUUGUACCCCACCCCCUUGAAGGUGCCAGAUGUGGCCUGCUUUCUCUGCGCUUUCCCGCACUGUUGGUGAUCUGUUUUGCUUGAGGCUCGUGAGCUGCUGCUGGGAGCAGGAUGGUUCGUGGAGUUCUCUGAGGCCCCCUCUCCUUGCUGGACUCACUACUCCCUGUGAGGGGAGACCCUGGAGAAGUCUGUGCUUUCGGUGUGCCCUUCAUUCCUGCUUCUCACCCCUCAGGAGCGUGGGUCUUUGAACAUACUUUUAGGAAAACGAAAUCUGUAACUUGGUGCUUGUUGAUGUAUUGCAAGCUGGCCUUGCAGAUGGAGAUAUUUAUCUUUCAGUUUAUUUGAAAGAGGUCUGGUUUAAAAUUUUUAGCUUAGAUUUGUUUAUUUAUUUGUGUGUGUGUGUGUGUGUGUGUGUGUGUGUUUUAAGCCCUACGGUUUCAACUGUCUGAUCCGUGCACAACGUGACCAGCCACAGCACUGCUCCCUCCUCAGUGUCUGUCAAAGUGCGUGAGGGCCCAAAGGAAAAUGAAAGGGGGAUCCAUUCCCUUCUUCCCCUCCCCCUACCUCCUUCUUCCAUCAAGGAAUGUCGUCUUCCUUGUGUGAGAGUUGAGAAACUUGCCACCUGUGAGUUACGCUCACCUGUUUGUCACGGAGAUUUCUUAGCCUUCAGAAACACUUUAAGAACAAGACCAGCUAAGCUAAUCAUCUUUUGAACCUUGGUGUAAACCACCCCCCCUGCCCCAAACCCUAAACAGGGAAAAGAGCGGUUACUUCCUCGCUCGGGCCACAUAGCCACGUCUGCGCUGGUUUUCCUCAGAUGUGCGUGGGGCCCGGCUGUCUGUUCUUGUCACCAACUCGAGCUCCCCUCUGGGCUCGCCGUCCCACAAGACGUGGGCUGCUGGAGGGAAUGGCACCGGGGAAGGAAGCCCCCAUCCUCCUUCCUCGGUGUCGUCAUUAAAAAAACAUAGGCCAGGCCACCCUGUCCCUGGGUGCCUGCACCAGGAAGUGCGGGGUGCUGACGAGCUGGGCCCUGUUCUCUCCAACAAAACGCUGUGGACCCCGAGUUUCUGUCCAUGGCCGCCCAGCCUGAUGGCAAUUUGAAAGCGUCUCUUACUCCCAACUAGCUCUAAGGUUGAAGUUGCUUUGGUGGUGGUGUUUAAAUGGAGGCUGCACCGGCACCCACCCCCAGUCACUUAGCUCAGGCAGGUUCUGGUUGGACAAGUGUAGAAUCAGACUUGGAAAGUAGCCUCCUGCCUCCACCCCACUGCCCACCGUCAUCCAAAGUCGAGUCUGCAGUGCAGAGAGACAACUGCUUGUUAAGAGCCGCGCUCUGACAUGUCUUCCUUCCCCUCCCCCCACUCCCCCGGAAACUGAUCGCUGGGGACUUCUUUGUCAUGCUUGGAGAACUACCUGGGUUGUUGCUGCUUGUGCUUGUGACCUUGAGAACCGCUCUGGUUCCAGAGGCAGUUCCCUGUUGUGUCCUCCAGCAAGCUCAAGAAAGCAGAUGCCGGGCGUUGUGGUUAAGUUUUGGGGGGACAGAUAGAGACACCAGCCAGAGUCCCCAGAUUUCCAGAGUCUAGUGAAGUUCCUGGAAGGAGGCUCAAAAAUUCUCUCAAAAAUGCCAUCAUCUCAGAAGUUGUCAUCCCAGUUGGGUGACGUGCACUUUAAAUGCUCUCAUCUGUCGGCUUCAUUUUUGAGACAAUCAGCUAUGUGAACUGUUUUCUUCUUUGAAAAUGGAGAGGGUUAAAAACAUGCAAAUUGCCAUAAUUCAGCCUUUGCCAACAUUCCAUUCUCUACCCCCACGAGAGCGAUCUGUGGGGAAGAAAUCCUUAUCAAGAUUUUUUUAUUUUUUUGAAAAGGUACGAAUCUUACCUUUCUCCCUCUUAUGUCUCAGGGUAGCACCACUAAAGUUGUCUCUUUGAGAAUAGUUCUCCCUUAUUCUCGUCCCGAGCCCCUAGUAGCAGUAAGCACAAAUUUUCAAGACCCUUGGGGUUUGUUGUCCCUUUCCUAGGAGGGGGGCAGGUAUGGGGGUGCAGGGUUUGAUAAAGUAAGCUCCGCCUUAAGUGAAGGGCAGAACCAUACCUUAGAGGCCAGGACUUGAUCCAGAAGUUGCUGUUCACAGAAGUACUGAUAUUUCAUUGCUUGGUCUCUCAGUGGCUUUUCCAUGGCCAGUUCUUUCUUCCCAAGGAUUUUGGUAUUUGUCCGGGAGGGCGUGGGGAGGUUGCAGUCCACUCCAGUGUUGAUGGGUGACUGGUUGUGCCCAGGCCAGCCGAGCCCUGGGAGGAACGGAGACACUGUUCGGGUGAGUGGGCCUCAGUGGCUGUCCACAGGGUGGCUUGGAGGGGGCGCCAGACUCUGCCAGAGGGGAUCGACCCCCCGCCCCCCAGGCUUGGACGCCCUUGGACUGUGGAAGCCCGGAACCAGCCCUGUAGGUUAGACAGCAUGUGCGCCCUGCCCGCCCGCCUUCCGUCCAGACACACGCAUGCCGGUGGUGCUGGGCCCCGCUCCCUGACACGCAGAGACAGAGGGAAGGGCAAAGAGUUUGUUGUGGUUUGUGUCUUCAUUUGUCUUCCAGUGUAGCCUGACAUUCCCAGUUACCCAGAACUUUGGAAUCUGCUUGCUGGCCAGGUUUCAAAGUGAAAAGUAUUUUAAUGCUGCCAUAAAAGUAAAAACAAAAAGGAAGGGAAAAACAAAGGCUUCUGUCCUUGUACCCCUCUAAUUUAAUUUGUCAAAAGAUUGACAGGCCUUGAAUUAACUCUCCAUCUCGCUAAGGUUGAAAGCCGGGCAAACCCAGCUGGCGCAUGCCCUCUGGCCCCAGACCACGAGCCUGGCCUGUGCUGGGGGCUCCUCGCUGCCUCGAAGCAGAGCGCGCUGCCUCUUCACCCCAGAUACUCACCCACCUUGAGCUCUCCUGCCUUUUGCAGCCACCCGCCUGGGGCCCGCCCGGUCAGCUUGCCCACAGUCACGGUUCAGCCUGUGGUUUCUGUGUUCCUUGCCUGCUGGGGGCACGGGGAGACGCCCGGACCUGCAGGAGGGCGAUUACCGUACACCUUAUACCUCUGCUUUUGUGGUUUUCAAAUACUAGACGAACAUUUCUGUGCUAGAUUCUUUUAAAUAAAAAGGGGUUAAAACCCAGAUGCUGUAUAUUAAUUUGUAAUUAUGUAUAAAGUAAAGCAGUUUUAAACUGUAAAAAAAUUUUUUCAGUGUGUUUUCUGGGAUUUUGCCACAACAUACUGGCUUUGUAUUUUAUUUAUCUUCCUUUUUAGUUAUUGGCUUCAGACUCUACUUGUAAAGUCCCCUCCACCCUUUCAAAAAAUAAAUGUCCUUUAAGUCUC